CGAAGGGGGCUAGCGUUGUUCGGAAUUACUGGGCGUAAAGGGUUUGUAGGCGGUUGAACAAGUCAGAUGUGAAAGCCCAAGGCUUAACCUUGGAAUUGCAUUUGAAACUGUUCAGCUAGAGAAUGUUAGAGGAAAGUGGAAUUCCUAGUGUAGGAGUGAAAUCCGUAGAGAUUAGGAGGAAUAUCGAUGGCGAAGGCAGCUUUCUGGGACAUUUCUGACGCUGAGAAACGAAAGCGUGGGUAGCAAACAGGAUUAGAUACCCUGGUAGUCCACGCCCUAAACGAUGAGUGCUAGACGUCGGAACUUUAGUUUCGGUGUCGCAGCUAACGCGUUAAGCACUCCGCCUGGGGAGUACGGUCGCAAGAUUA
rnacentral:rRNA from 1 species